GACGAACGCUGGCGGCGUGCUUAACACAUGCAAGUCGAACGGAAAGGCCCUGCUUUUGUGGGGUGCUCGAGUGGCGAACGGGUGAGUAACACGUGAGUAACCUGCCCUUGACUUUGGGAUAACUUCAGGAAACUGGGGCUAAUACCGGAUAGGAGCUCCUGCUGCAUGGUGGGGGUUGGAAAGUUUCGGCGGUUGGGGAUGGACUCGCGGCUUAUCAGCUUGUUGGUGGGGUAGUGGCUUACCAAGGCUUUGACGGGUAGCCGGCCUGAGCGGGUGACCGGCCACAUUGGGACUGAGAUACGGCCCAGACUCCUACGGGAGGCAGCAGUGGGGAAUAUUGCACAAUGGGUGGAAGCCUGAUGCAGUAACGCCGCGUGCGGGAUGACGGCCUUCGGGUUGUAAACCGCUUUCGCCUGUGACGAAGCGUGAGUGGCGGUAAUGGGUAAAGAAGCACCGGCUAACUACGUG
rnacentral:rRNA from 1 species